rnacentral:lncRNA from 1 species
CUCCUCAAUUUAUUUGUUUGAUUAAAAUAAAGUCACCCAAUAGUAAACGAUGAAACACAUAAUUCAAUUACUGAAAAAGGAAAAUGAAAGCAACGCAAAGUCAUCGGCGGUCAUUCUUUUGAUAAAUAGUUGUUGAUAAGCAAUUAUAAUUAGUAACUCCUUCCAAGUACCAGUCUCUUGUUCACAAGAAUUGCAGAGAACACGUACGGAAUGGAAUCAUCAGUUGCAGUUCAAGUUUAGCUGACGAGCCGAUUUGGUGAAGAUAGAAGCAGUCUCCUAGCAUGGAGUUGCCAUGAUUGGAGUGAUUCCAUUUGCACAAAAAGGUGCGGAGAAGGACCGGGGGCUGGCAAAGGUGCAGAAGCAAUCGUAUCAGACUCAGCACGAGUGGCCUCCAUCGAAAAUGAGAGGAUACAGAAGAAGAUUGAGAUGAGAAAGAGGAUAGACUUGCGCUCCAUCUUUAUUUUCGUUGAAUCUCUCCCUCUCAAUCUUUCUCUCUCUAUUAAGUAUUUGAUUGAAGAGGAUCUUUAAUUUCUGUGUUUACAGAGGAUCCACGAUUUUGGAUUUUAAAAGGGGGGAUGGAGGACGAGGAGGUGCUUCUUGGUUCAUUACCAGGCAGUCAAAUCUCUAUUUUUAGGGUAAUUUUGUCCAUUUUCUGUUCGGCGCAUUAAUUUAGGGCGAAUUUUUCUCACUAUUUUCAGACUCAUUGAUACAGGUAAGGAGGUAAUAGCCAGAGAAAAUGGGAGGUGUUUUGCUUUCAAUCGGUAAAAAAAAUAGAAAAUAGUUGCUAAUUUCUAACAUGAUCCUGUGGCUUAAACUGAGG